rnacentral:rRNA from 1 species
UACGUAGGGGGCAAGCGUUGUCCGGAAUCAUUGGGCGUAAAGCGCGUGUAGGCGGCCCGGUAAGUCCGCUGUGAAAGUCCAGGGCUCAACCCUGGGAUGCCGGUGGAUACUGUCGGGCUCGAGUCCGGAAGAGGCGAGUGGAAUUCCUGGUGUAGCGAUGAAAUGCGCAGAUAUCAGGAGGAACACCAAUGGCGAAGGCAGCUCGCUGGGACGUGACUGACGCUGAGACGCGAAAGCGUGGGGAGCAAACAGG